GACGAACGCUGGAGGCGUGCUUAACACAUGCAAGUCGAACGAUGAAAUGGAGCUUGCUCCAUGGAUUAGUGGCGAACGGGUGAGUAACACGUGAAUAACCUGCCCUUAAUUUUGGAAUAACCCAGGGAAACCUGGGCUAAUACCGGAUAAGUAAACCUGUGGCAUCACAUGGUUUUGGAAAGUUUUUCGAUUAAGGAUGGAUUCGCGGCCUAUCAGCUUGUUGGUGGGGUAAUGGCUCACCAAGGCGACGACGGGUAGCCGGCCUGAGAGGGUGAGCGGCCACACUGGGACUGAGACACGGCCCAGACUCCUACGGGAGGCAGCAGUGGGGAAUAUUGCGCAAUGGACGAAAGUCUGACGCAGCGACGCCUCGUGAGGGACGAAGGUCUUCGGAUUGUAAACCUCUUUCAGCAGGGACGAAGCGAAAGUGACGGUACCUGCAGAAGAAGCACCGGCUAACUAUGUGCCAGCAGCCGCAGUAA
rnacentral:rRNA from 1 species